GAGCGGUUUGGACUUCGCCGUGCGCUUGGCAAUAAUCCCCAGUACAUACUCAAAGGUGGAAAAGCUGCUGUUAGGUUUGUCACAGGAAGCAAGCUUCUCAAGUCCCUGCAACAGUAUAGUACAUAAGUGCUGUUUCCCGUUAUGAAGAGAAUCCCAACAAGAAUUGUUAGUACCAAUAAAUGACAAUAGAUGGCAGCAGAGACCAUGAAAUACUCACCUUGCUGCUUCUCACUGCAGAAACGGCAUUUCAUUUGCACGUUCAGGUUUGGGUUCACUGGUUCCCAGAACUUCCGCACUCCACCACCUGGUGUCAUGACAUACCCUCACAGACACUGAAGCACGCUGAAGUGUUGAUGCUCCUACCAGUGGUCCUGUGGACUUCACAGCCUCAAGGGGAGUAGUACAGAUGUUUAAAAGGUAUGAGGAGUGGUGGGUCUGCCUUCAGUGGUAGGAUACAGGCUGUGUUUUGUCUUGAGUCAAACACCUCCACUUGUGCUGGGGCAUGUCCUGGCCUUUGGUACAACAUCCUUUGUCCUGAUAUCUGGGGCAGGAUCACUAUAUCAGGUACUACAGGGGGGUGGGGGUACUAAUUUGCCAUGUGGACACGUUUAAUGUUCUCUUUGUGAUGAAAAUUGGAGUGCCAGCUACUAUGUUUACUGGCUGUGUAGUGAUAACCAUAGGCUUUACCUCUACCAAAUUCCUCCAAGGUGCAAGUAGAUUAUGAAGAGAAAGGAAAAUUGGCUGUGACAAAACAAAAAUUAUUGUUGGAAUAUGGAUCAAAGAAAUCAAUAAAUCCCAUUCUUGCAAAACCUGUUGCUGGUUCCAUUGCACUCUUCUGGAAAUCUGCACAUAGAGCAGAAACAUGAAAAUUUGUAUAGAAUUAAAAUGGAGAUUUUGAAGUAGUGAGUGAAUGGUAAUCAAAGAAAUAAAGUGAAAAUUUAGAUUUUGUUGAAUCCCAGGGAGUAUACUCAUGCAGGCAGUCCAGUUCACUAAUGUAGCUGUCUUUUCAUAUGGUCCUAAACUUCUACAUUAGAUUCAGUUCUUGCUUGCCUGCUUGCAGUCAUAACUCCAGAGAGAUUUCCCUUUGGAAUGUUAAAAAUUGAGUUCUCCUGAAUCAGCUCCCACAAAACAAAUGUUCCUCACACAAGGGUACUUUGUAAGAAGAAAAAGAUUAAAUACAAGGCAAAAUAUCUCCUGGCUCACUUAAAUACUGUCCUUGCCCUGUAAGUUUUAGCAAGUCACUGAAAUUUGUGGUUGUAACACAAUGAAAAGCACGACAGUGAUAGCAGAGUAGCAAGACCCCAGGCUGCAGUGAGUGAAAACUUGCUAAACAGAGCAGUCAUGGAGACAGAAAUAAGGAAAAAAAAACCUGCUUAUCCUUGGAAGGCCUCAGCUAUGCAGGGAUCUCCAGAUGAGAUACCCUCAGCUCCACUGCCAACACUUAAAUGAGGUCUGCGAAGAGGAAGAUCCUGUCAAUACCCAUACUGGUCAUUCAUGUGCACUGCAUACACUUGAGCUCCCCUGGCUUGGCCCUGCCUUACUACUAGGUGCUCAAUCACUGUUUCAA